CGGCUUCGCAGCGUGCAGACGGGGAGCAUGCUCCCAAUGAUGCUGCGAGGAAAGUCCCCGUGCCUUGGUGCAGAGAGUGCGUGCGGG
rnacentral:RNase_MRP_RNA from 14 species